UACAGAGGGGGCGAGCGUUGUUCGGAAUUACUGGGCGUAAAGGGCGCGUAGGUGGCCUGCUAUGUCGAACGUGAAAUCCCUGGGCUCAACCCAGGAACUGCGUCCGAAACUGGCAGGCUCGAAUCCGGGAGAGGGAUGUGGAAUUCCAGGUGUAGCGGUGAAAUGCGUAGAUAUCAGGAGGAACACCUGUGGCGAAAGCGGCUCCACUGGACCAUAACUGACGCUGAUGCACGAAAGCUAGGGGGAGCAAACAGG
rnacentral:rRNA from 1 species